rnacentral:rRNA from 1 species
GCACUUUAAGCAGUGAAGAAGACUCUUCGGUUAAUACCCGGAGACGAUGACAUUAGCUGCAGAAUAAGCACCGGCUAACUCUGUGCCAGCAGCCGCGGUAAUACAGAGGGUGCAAGCGUUAAUCGGAAUUACUGGGCGUAAAGGGAGCGUAGGUGGCUCUAUAAGUCAGAUGUGAAAUCCCCGGGCUUAACCUGGGAACUGCAUCUGAAACUGUAGAGCUAGAGUAUGUGAGAGGAAGGUAGAAUUCCAGGUGUAGCGGUGAAAUGCGUAGAGAUCUGGAGGAAUACCGAUGGCGAAGGCAGCCUUCUGGCAUAAUACUGACACUGAGGCUCGAAAGCGUGGGUAGCAAACAGGAUUAGAUACCCUGGUAGUCCACGCCGUAAACGAUGUCUACUAGUCGUUGG